GGCAGGGAUCUGGAACUCUGGAAUACAGCAAUCACCUAUUAGUAUUGGUAGUUUUUUGUUUGUUUUUGUUUUUCCUUUUAUGUUGGUGUGUUUCCCUGGAAGGGAAUCCUCUGUUCUCUUGCCUGAUGAUACUGGUGGUGGUGGCAGCAGGGGAGGUGUAAGACUGGCUGCCAGCAUUCUCAGGGCUGAGUGGGGAAAGAGGUCUGAAGGUGAUGACUCCCAUUUCAGUAUGUGGACUCCCAUGUCUUCUGCUUGCUCCUCCCCAGAGAGUAAACCUUUAACCUUCUGCUGAGACUGGACAGGUGAUUUGUGGGACUAUUACACUUCUGCCAACUUCCAACUAAUCCUAUUUUCAGGUUAAUCUGCACCUUUACCUUUCAUGGUAACUGAGCUCUCCUAGAAGUUGAACCAUCAAUCAGUUUGCUUAUAGCUCUUUGCUCCCACCCCCAACAGCAGACUCUUAAUGGUUGUUUUUUUUUUUUAAAUGUUAUUGAGUAUAACAUAGACAGAAAAGCACAAGACCGUAGGUGUGCAGCUGGAUGGAUGCUUGCAUGUCUCUACCCCUGUAACCACCACCUUGAUCAAGAUACAGAACAUUUUCAUCAUGUAUGAAGAUUCCCUUGUGAUUCUUACCAGAAAAUACCCCUCAACCAAAGAUGAGUCAGUGCCAUGUGGGAAGAGGAGGGCAAAAUUUCAUAGAACUCCUGGCAAUUGAGCAUUAGGAUGAAACUCUGAACAUACGUCUGGACUGAGGAUUCUCUUGCCAAAUCUGUGGUCAGCAGGUCACUACUGGAGUUUAGAGAAAGAUGUGUCUUCUAUUCAGAUCAACCAGCCUACAGAAAUAAUCUUUUAGAGGGCCCUAUUCACGCUUAACCCAGUUUUGUUUUGGUUUAUGUUUUGAAAAUGUAUGAAAGUCUCAAUUUAUUUUUUAAAAAAUAUUAUGAACUAGAAUAUAAAAGUGACAAAUACAGUACAUUUAAAACGCACAUACUCAUUUCCAUUGCUUGGAAGCUUUAUGAAAACAGAAAUCAGAGGAUAAGGCCAACAGGGCGGAGUGGGGAGCGGGGAGAUCCCCUCAAGACGGAGAAGGCCUGGUGAGGAGAGGCAGAGGGGUUCUGGGAGAGGUCGGAGCAGGUACCUCAGGGGGUCUUAAAACAUGGUUCUCCGAUAAAACGAUAACCUCUUAUAGUGUUUAUAGAACUCAGAAAUGAUAUUUAUUUAACUUUAUUAUGAGGCAAUACAUAUUUUCCUGUAUUUCUAGAUAUAGUUUGGAAAACUCUCCUUAAUAGUCUGUUUUGUAUGCCUUGUAUUUAAAAGUUUUAGUCAUUUUUGAAAGACUAUUGCUGCUGCAAAUAGUUGUGUGCUUUACAUUCUCAGCUUCAGUCAAUUUUUUAAUGUAAGAGCAUCAUAAUCUAACCCGAGCAUCCACUUGGAGAAUGUUUUUUUGUGUGUGGUCUAGGGUGACAAAAGACCACAAAAAUGUGUGGCCUAGAUUUUUCCAACUAUGUCAUUAACUUCAUGAUCCAAGACCAGUUAUAGGAUGAGUCUAUAUGUGAAAAUAAAGUCUGAUUUAUGGAAGGAAUUAUUCUAAGGGAAAAACCCAGGG
rnacentral:lncRNA from 1 species